rnacentral:rRNA from 1 species
GAUGAACGCUAGCGGCAGGCCUAAUACAUGCAAGUCGAGGGGCAGCACGAGUAGCAAUACUUGGUGGCGACCGGCGCACGGGUGCGUAACACGUAUGCAAUCUACCUUUAACUGGAGGAUAGCCCGAAGAAAUUCGGAUUAAUACUCCAUGGUAUUACGAAGUAGCAUUACUUUGUAAUUAAAGCUCCGGCGGUUAAAGAUGAGCAUGCGUCCGAUUAGCUAGUUGGUGAGGUAACGGCUCACCAAGGCGACGAUCGGUAGGGGUACUGAGAGGUUACACCCCCACACUGGUACUGAGACACGGACCAGACUCCUACGGGAGGCAGCAGUAAGGAAUAUUGGACAAUGGUCGCAAGACUGAUCCAGCCAUGCCGCGUGAAGGACUGAAGGUUCUAUGAAUUGUAAACUUCUUUUGUAUGGGAAAAAACCCCUGGACGUGUCCGGGGCUGAUUGUACCAUAAGAAUAAGGGUCGGCUAACUUCGUGCCAGCCGCCGCGGUAA